rnacentral:lncRNA from 1 species
UGCAAAGAAGUGGAUUACGCGGAGGUGGAGGUGGGGCUGGUGGGGUUGGGCAAAGUAAUGGGAGAGGUAAUAUCGUGCAAAUAAGUGAACGCGGAGGGGGAGGUGGCGACGUUGGUGGAGGAGGAAGGGUUGGGGGUGGGGGAGGUGAAGGCGGGGGAGGGGAAGGUGGUGGAGGUGAUGGUGGAGGUGGAGGUGGUGAUGGUGGUGGCGGAGACCUAGGUGGUGGUGGAGGAGAUGGGCAAAAUAUUGGUAUGCCAAAUAUGGGAAGUCGUAUGCAUGGCAGAAGUUGAGCAUUGAUAGUUGUAACCAACAUAGGCAAGAGCGCUAUUAGAACCCAUACUUUGAGUUCCAUAUUGAUUACAGCUAACAAGAAAACUAAAGAUCCACGAUGUGUUUGUUGUAAAAAAGAGAUGAGUUUUUUUCAUAUAUAUAGGCAUCAAUUUGUG